GCAGAGAGGCCAUAAACGCCAGCAGUCGCAGGCAAACCAUCAUCAGGAAGAGUGGAUUCAUCGCAGCAGCUCCGAAGAACAAGUCAGUUCAGUCGUUCUACUUCGUCUUCUUCUUCCCUCUAACAAUGAAGACUUGCGGCGUUUUUCUGGUCAUAGCAUCCCUGCUAGUUUCCGGCUGCGUCUGUCAGAGUAAGUAAAUCCCGUGUCUAAUGGAGGACAUCACUACAACUCGAAGAAGACAAAACUCUUGCAAUGACACGCCCGCCUGUGAAUCUCUGAGAUCCAUGUGUGUUGAUGUGGGAAGCGCCAGCUCUUGCGACGCUACGGACGCCAGCGCGUGUGGAACUACAAACUGCACAUGCUGCAUUAUGACAC